rnacentral:rRNA from 1 species
UACGUAGGGGGCAAGCGUUGUCCGGAUUUAUUGGGCGUAAAGAGCGUGUAGGCGGCUAGGUAGGUCCGUUGUGAAAACUCGAGGCUCAACCUCGAGACGUCGAUGGAAACCAUCUAGCUAGAGUCCGGAAGAGGAGAGUGGAAUUCCUGGUGUAGCGGUGAAAUGCGCAGAUAUCAGGAAGAACACCCGUGGCGAAGGCGGCUCUCUUGUACGUGACUGACGCUGAGACGCGAAAGCGUGGGGAGUGAACAGG